rnacentral:tRNA from 2 species
GGGCCGGUAGUCUAGCCUGGAAGGAUAUCCGCCUCGCACGCGGGAGAUCGUGGGUUCAAAUCCCACCCGGUCCACCA